rnacentral:tRNA from 1 species
UCCGCGGUAGCCGGAGGCGGAACGGCGGUGGUCUCCGGGAGGCCGGACGACGGGCCGGGAGCCGGCGGCGGCCGUUCCGAUUCGAUCGGCGCCGGGC